AGGAUGAUGACCCCAGGUGAUUCUGAGUGUCUUUGCUGAUGCAUCACCGCAGCACGCUGACG
rnacentral:snoRNA from 1 species